GAUGAACGCUGGCGGCGUGCCUAAUACAUGCAAGCCGAGCGAAUGGAUUGAGAGCUUGCUCUUAUGAAGUUAGCGGCGGACGGGUGAGUAACACGUGGGUAACCUGCCCAUAAGACUGGGAUAACUCCGGGAAACCGGGGCUAAUACCGGAUAACAUUUUGAACCGCAUGGUUCGAAAUUGAAAGGCGGCUUCGGCUGUCACUUAUGGAUGGACCCGCGUCGCAUUAGCUAGUUGGUGAGGUAACGGCUCACCAAGGCAACGAUGCGUAGCCGACCUGAGAGGGUGAUCGGCCACACUGGGACUGAGACACGGCCCAGACUACUACGGGAGGAAGCAGUAGGGAAUCUUCCGCAAUGGACGAAAGUCUGACGGAGCAACGCCGCGUGAGUGAUGAAGGCUUUCGGGUCGUAAAACUCUGUUGUUAGGGAAGAACAAGUGCUAGUUGAAUAAGCUGGCACCUUGACGGUACCUAACCAGAAAGCCACGGCUAACUACGUGCCAGCCGCCGCCGUAA
rnacentral:rRNA from 1 species